rnacentral:tRNA from 1 species
AUUAAAGUGGCAGAAUUCAAUGCAAGGAAUUUAAGCUUCCUUUAUGAGUAAUCCUUUAAUA